ACUGGCUCAUGGCAAUAAUAAAAAUAGGAUUGUUGUAGUUGAUUUUAUUAUUUUUAUAUUCUCAACAGACAGUACACUCCAUUACUGCUUGCAUCCAGAUCAUAUUGCUUUCCACCACCCAACCCUCCAUACACCACUACUGUUCAGUAGUCAUUUAUUGAUGAAAGAAGGCAUCCUGAAGGUACAUUAAAAUAUGACUCCCCAUGGAUUAGGGAUUCUCAACUAUUGUAUUUGAGAAGUUACCCUUUUAUUUUCUAAAUUCGCCCAACAAAGUCCUUUGGUCAAGGAUUCUUCGUGCCUCUGAAAUACCUUGCGUAUCAUGAAUAGACAAAGCCCCUUCUCUUGUGGAGUCUGCAUGCCUUGUAUAGGGGAGAGGCAAAGUUUUUAGAUCACCAGACUAGUAAUGGAGCAGGGAGUAAAGGGGGAUGAAGAAAUUUAUGGAAACUCUUGAGAAGGAACCAUGCUGGUGGUGUCCUCCUACAUCCCUUUACAUUUAGAAGAGUCAUAGAUAGUCAGUCAUGAAUAUCCAUCAGAUACCAUUCUAUCUUUGGUAGAGUUGAGAGAUGGAUAGAUUUAUCACAAAGUAGUAGAUCAUGGUCCUUCCUCUUAUUUUUACAGGUUUCAAACAGAUAUAAUGCACUGAAUUCAAAUCAAAGCUCCAUAUUCCCCCCACAUCACUGAUGUAUUAAUAUUUCUGUUUAUCUUAUUAGCAUUUACAGCCUGUUAAUCUUUUUUGUGGGUUGCAUUAGCAAACAGAUCCAUGUCAAAACCAAAAUGAACCGUGGCUUCCCAUCUCACUCAGAGUAAAAGCAUGUAAGACCUUAUACCAUCUCCACCCCUUUCCACCAAAACAAAGUUUACACACAUGCACACAUGCACACACACACAACACAACUCUUUCCCUUCAACUCUCUCCCUCUCUUACUUCUGCUGUUACUAGGUACAUUGCCUAAUCUCCUAGAACACUCUUCUUCCAGAUAUCUAAAUGGAUCACUUCUUCAAAUUUUUGCUGAAACAUCACCUCAAUGAGGUCAACUCAUCAAAGUUAAAGCUCCCCUCCCCGCCCCACAUACACAAUUCCUACUCUCUUCCCUGCUGAAUUUAUCUCCAUAGCAUGCAUCAUCAUCUAAUAAACUAUUUUUCUCCCCUGACUGCAAUGUAAGCUGCACGAAGGAAUAAAUAGAUAGGAAAAGAAAAGGAAAAAAUAAAAGAAGAAAAGAGAAGAAAAAAAACACUUCAGAAGAUAUUCCAGAUUCAAGAAGAUACAGCCAAAUAGUGGUCAAUACACCAGUUUUCUUCCUGCUCUCAUUUUUGCUUCCUCUGAUGGGCUAGGUAAGGAAGAUAAGAAUAAAUAAGACAUUUGUAAGAGCACUUAAAAAUUCCAAAGAGCUAUUUUUUUUUUUUUUUGAAAUGGAGUCUCAUUUUGUCGCCCAGGAGAGCAGUGGCGCGAUCUCGGCUCACUGCAGCCUCUGCAUCCCAGGUUCAAGCCAUUCUCCUGCCUCAGCCUCCCGAGUAGUUGGGACUACAGGCGCCCGCC
rnacentral:lncRNA from 1 species